rnacentral:rRNA from 1 species
CAGCAGCCGCGGGAAAACGGAGGGUGCAAGCGUUAUCCGGAUUUAUUGGGUUUAAAGGGUCCGUAGGCGGAUCUGUAAGUCAGUGGUGAAAUCUCACAGCUUAACUGUGAAACUGCCAUUGAUACUGCAGGUCUUGAGUAAAUUUGAAGUGGCUGGAAUAAGUAGUGUAGCGGUGAAAUGCAUAGAUAUUACUUAGAACACCAAUUGCGAAGGCAGGUCACUAAGAUUUAACUGACGCUGAUGGACGAAAGCGUGGGGAGCGAACAGGAUUAGAUACCCGAGUAGUCCCUGUCUCUUAUAA